AUGGAAAUUGGCAAAUGCAAUGAACCAGGGCUUCUAUUUACCAGGGAGCCUGCUGUUAAACACUUGAUGUAUCAUUGCUCCCAGGCCUCCUUCUGUCCUGCUCUCCAGGCCAGGAGCCCCUGUCACAAGGCCCAGGGAGCCCUGGAGUCUGGAGAGAAUUGUGACAAGACACAAGGCUGUGGCUGGGCAUCACUGCUGUCCACGCCAUCCUGGGGCUGGACCUGGUCCCCAGCCCCAGACCCUACCAUCUCCACACCAAGGCCCCUGUCCCAGACUAGAGUUGGUCCCCAGCUCUGCAUAACUCAGGAACUGAGAGCUCCAGGUGUGGAGCCACACAGACUCUGGCGUGGCUAUGGGCAAGUCACUUUAGCUGUCUGGGCUACAGUGUCCUCGUCUGCGGCAUGGGAAUCAGUGAACAGCAUGACCCUAAAGCCAUGCUUGUGCUAUUCACCUUCAAGUUCUGCCCAAGGGACCCCAAGCAAGGUGGAGAACCCCCCGCGAGCCUCAGCUUCCUCAUCUGUAAGAUGGAACCCCAAGCAAGGUGGAGAACCCCACCCCGAGCCUCAGUUUUCAUCUAUAAGAUGGGACUCCAAGCAAGGUGGAGAACCCCCCACGAGCCUCAGCUUCCUCAUCUGUAAGAUGGGACCCCAAGCAAGGUGGAGAACCCCCUUGAGCCUCAGCUUCCUCAUCUGUAAGAUGGGACCCCAAGCAAGGUGGAGAACCCCCUUGAGCCUCAGCUUCCUCAUCUGUAAGAUGGGACCCCAAGCAAGGUGGAGAACCCCCUUGAGCCUCAGCUUCCUCAUCUGUAAGAUGGGACCCCAAGCAAGGUGGAGAACCCCCUUGAGCCUCAGCUUCCUCAUCUGUAAGAUGGGACCCCAAGCAAGGUGGAGAACCCCCUUGAGCCUCAGCUUCCUCAUCUGUAAGAUGGAAGUUCCUUCUUAUCAGGCCACCAUAAAAGCCAACAAGUUGGAUGGAGUGAGGUGGCUCACACCUGUAACCCCAGCACUUUGGGAGGCCGAGGUCAGGAGUUCGAGACCAGUCUGGCCAACACGGUGA
rnacentral:lncRNA from 13 species